UACGGAGGGUGCAAGCGCUAAUCGGAAUUACUGGGCGUAAAGCGUGCGCAGGCGGUUUGUUAAGUCUGUUGUGAAAUCCCCGAGCUCAACUUGGGAAUUGCAAUGGAUACUGGCAGGCUGGAGUAUGGUAGAGGAAGGUGGAAUUCCCGGUGUAGCAGUGAAAUGCGUAGAGAUCGGGAGGAACACCAGUGGCGAAGGCGGCCUUCUGGACCAAUACUGACGCUCAUGCACGAAAGCGUGGGGAGCAAACAGG
rnacentral:rRNA from 1 species